rnacentral:rRNA from 1 species
UACGAAGGGGGCUAGCGUUGCUCGGAAUGACUGGGCGUAAAGGGCGCGUAGGCGGAUUGUACAGUCAGGCGUGAAAUUCCCGGGCUCAACCUGGGUGCUGCGCUUGAGACGUGCGAUCUUGAGUGGGGAAGAGGGUCGUGGAAUUCCCAGUGUAGAGGUGAAAUUCGUAGAUAUUGGGAAGAACACCGGUGGCGAAGGCGGCGACCUGGUCCUUGACUGACGCUGAGGCGCGAAAGCGUGGGGAGCAAACAGG